UACGAAGGGUGCAAACGUUGCUCGGAAUUACUGGGCGUAAAGGGUGCGCAGGCGGUUAUAUAAGACAGAUGUGAAAUCCCCGGGCUCAACCUGGGAACUGCGUUUGUGACUGUAUGACUAGAGUACGGUAGAGAGGGGUGGAAUUCCUGGUGUAGCAGUGAAAUGCGUAGAUAUCAGGAGGAACAUCGAUGGCGAAGGCAGCCCCUUGGACCUGUACUGACGCUCAUGCACGAAAGCGUGGGGAGCAAACAGG
rnacentral:rRNA from 1 species